rnacentral:lncRNA from 13 species
UGUAAUUGUGCAAAGUGUACCAUUUAAAUUUACUUUUAAAAUGUAACUUAAAACUUUUUUUCCAUAGCUUACAAGUUUGACUAAGCAGAAAAUAUGAAGAUACUUAUACUUGGACAAUUGAGCAGUUACUCCUCCCUGUCAGGAACAUGAGGAGUGAUGAAAUAAAUGGCUAAGGAUUGACAGGACCCUGGUUUUUGUAUGUCAUCAGACAUUUAUCUCACCAUUAGGGGUAAACACAUACAUCAUAUGUCUUCAUGCAUCUGUCCUGUGUGCUUGGCCAGACCAGAUAAAAAUGGGCAUGCUUUCUUUUAAUGUGUUUUGUCACAGCGUUUCCAAUUGCUGGCAUACCAUAAUGAUGAUGGUCA